rnacentral:rRNA from 1 species
CAGUCGCCGCGGUAAUACAGAGGGUGCGAGCGUUAAUCGGAUUUACUGGGCGUAAAGCGUGCGUAGGCGGCUUUUUAAGUCGGAUGUGAAAUCCCUGAGCUUAACUUAGGAAUUGCAUUCGAUACUGGGAAGCUAGAGUAUGGGAGAGGAUGGUAGAAUUCCAGGUGUAGCGGUGAAAUGCGUAGAGAUCUGGAGGAAUACCGAUGGCGAAGGCAGCCAUCUGGCCUAAUACUGACGCUGAGGUACGAAAGCAUGGGGAGCAAACAGGAUUAGAUACCCGAGUAGUCCAUGUCUCUUAUAC